GAUGAACGCUGGCGGCGUGCCUAAUACAUGCAAGUCGAGCGAACGGACGAGAAGCUUGCUUCUCUGAUGUUAGCGGCGGACGGGUGAGUAACACGUGGAUAACCUACCUAUAAGACUGGGAUAACUUCGGGAAACCGUAGCUAAUACCGGAUAAUAUUUUGAACCGCAUGGUUCAAAAGUGAAAGACGGUCUUGCUGUCACUUAUAGAUGGAUCCGCGCUGCAUUAGCUAGUUGGUAAGGUAACGGCUUACCAAGGCAACGAUGCAUAGCCGACCUGAGAGGGUGAUCGGCCACACUGGAACUGAGACACGGUCCAGACUCCUACGGGAGGCAGCAGUAGGGAAUCUUCCGUAAUGGGCGAAAGCCUGACGGAGCAACGCCGCGCGAGUGAUGAAGGUCUUCGGAUCGUAAAACUCUGUUAUUAGGGAAGAACAUAUGUGUAAGUAACUGUGCACAUCUUGACGGUACCUAAUCAGAAAGCCACGGCUAACUACGUG
rnacentral:rRNA from 1 species